GUGCUUGCUUUGGCAGCACAUAUACUAAAAUUUGAACGAUACAGAGAUUAGCAUGGCGCCUGCGCAGAGAUGACACACAAGUUCGUGAAGUGUUCCAUAUUUAA
ensembl:snRNA U6 U6 spliceosomal RNA